rnacentral:rRNA from 1 species
GACGAACGCUGGCGGCGUGCUUAACACAUGCAAGUCGAACGGAAAGGCCCUGCUUUUGUGGGGUGCUCGAGUGGCGAACGGGUGAGUAACACGUGAGUAACCUGCCCUUGACUUUGGGAUAACUUCAGGAAACUGGGGCUAAUACCGGAUAGGAGCUCCUGCUGCAUGGUGGGGGUUGGAAAGUUUCGGCGGUUGGGGAUGGACUCGCGGCUUAUCAGCUUGUUGGUGUGGUAGUGGCUUACCAAGGCUUUGACGGGUAGCCGGCCUGAGAGGGUGACCGGCCACAUUGGGACUGAGAUACGGCCCAGACUCCUACGGGAGGCAGAAGUGGGGAAUAUUGCACAAUGGGCGGAAGCCUGAUGCAGCAACGCCGCGUGCGGGAUGACGGCCUUCGGGUUGUAAACCGCUUUCGCCUGUGACGAAGCGUGAGUGACGGUAAUGGGUAAAGAAGCACCGGCUAACUACGUG